UACGUAGGGUGCAAGCGUUGUCCGGAAUUAUUGGGCGUAAAGAGCUCGUAGGCGGUUUGUCGCGUCUGCUGUGAAAACCCGAGGCUCAACCUCGGGCCUGCAGUGGGUACGGGCAGACUAGAGUGCGGUAGGGGAGAUUGGAAUUCCUGGUGUAGCGGUGGAAUGCGCAGAUAUCAGGAGGAACACCGGUGGCGAAGGCGGCUCUCUGGACCAUAACUGACGCUGAGACGCGAAAGCUAGGGGAGCAAACAGG
rnacentral:rRNA from 1 species